rnacentral:rRNA from 1 species
UGGUAUCGAUGCGCUUGUGGGAAACACCCGUUCCCAUCCCGAACACGACGGUUAAGACGCAAGCGGCCGAUGGUACUGCACUGGAGACGGUGUGGGAGAGCAGGUGGAUGCCAGAUU